rnacentral:rRNA from 1 species
UACGUAGGCAGCAAGCGUUGUUCGGAGUUACUGGGCGUAAAGAGUGCGUAGGUGGUGCCCUAAGUCUGUUGUGAAAUCUCCCGGCUUAACUGGGAGGGUGCGGUGGAAACUGGGGAACUUGAGUGCAGAAGAGGAAAGUGGAAUUCCACGUGUAGCGGUGAAAUGCGUAGAGAUGUGGAGGAACACCAGUGGCGAAGGCGACUUUCUGGUCUGUAACUGACACUGAGGCGCGAAAGCGUGGGGAGCGAACAGG